rnacentral:rRNA from 1 species
UACGUAGGGGGAGAGCGUUAUCCGGAUUCAUUGGGCGUAAAGCGCGCGUAGGCGGCCGCCUAAGCGGAACCUCUAACCCCGGGGCUCAACCUCGGGCCGGGUUCCGGACUGGGCGGCUCGAGUGCGGUAGAGGAGAGCGGAAUUCCCGGUGUAGCGGUGGAAUGCGCAGAUAUCGGGAAGAACACCGAUGGCGAAGGCAGCUCUCUGGGCCGUCACUGACGCUGAGGCGCGAAAGCUGGGGGAGCGAACAGG